rnacentral:rRNA from 1 species
GAUGAACGCUAGCGGCAGGCUUAAUACAUGCAAGUCGAGGGGCAGCACGGUUAGCAAUAACUGGUGGCGACCGGCGCACGGGUGCGUAACACGUAUACAAUCUACCUUAAACAGGGGAUAGCCUUUCGAAAGAGAGAUUAAUACCCCGUAAUAAAUUGAACGGCAUCGUUUGAUUUUGAAAGCUCCGGCGGUUUGAGAUGAGUAUGCGUCUGAUUAGCUAGUUGGUGAGGUAACGGCUCACCAAGGCGACGAUCAGUAGGGGAUCUGAGAGGACUAACCCCCCACACUGGUACUGAGACACGGACCAGACUCCUACGGGAGGCAGCAGUAAGGAAUAUUGGUCAAUGGAGGCAACUCUGAACCAGCCAUGCCGCGUGCAGGAUGACGGCCCUAUGGGUUGUAAACUGCUUUUAUACAAGAGAAAACCCUGGUACGUGUACCAGGUUGAUAGUAUUGUAAGAAUAAGCAUCGGCUAACGUUCGUGCCAGCAGCCGCGGUAA